rnacentral:lncRNA from 1 species
GUGGAAUUGACUCAAAAAUGAGGUACGUCAGUAUUAAAUUAGAUAUCUUCAUAGCAAUAUUCUCUGGAAAUUUGCAUUUCGAUACUUUUUUCCACUUGAGAGGGGUCUCGCUACAGGGAGGUGGCCCCGGAACAACACUUCUCGGCGGCCACCAGUUCACGUCCCCCUCAAAGGCUCCACUCUUCUCAGCCAAACCAUUGGGUUGCCCAACUGUGAUGGAACAACGAGCAGACGUUGGCCCAGAACUCCGUGACCUCAUCAGUGCGAUGAGGCUUAUGUUAUACACAGUUACUUAAUGUGACCAGUUUCAAGUUGAUUUUUAGAAAUAUGUGAAUUAGAUGACUUUAACUUCACACAACACAAAGGAGAAAUAGAGUUUAAACUGGAUUUGUUUUGUUUUAAGUCCCUUUUCACUUUAACACUGUCCAAAAAUAUCUGCGUCUCCUUUGUUGUUUAUCCAUCUGCCCGCUGCGUUUUCAUGUCAGUCCCUGAAUUCAGACAAAUCCGCAAGCCUGCGAUCCUGGUAAUUUAGAGUAAGUUAUGAUCAUUACUGUUUUGAAGGAAAAGAGAGUAUAAAUUCUCUUACGGCUCAGAUCCGGUAAUGGAUUUUGCUUUACAUCUAAUUAAGAGAAGAAAGUAAGUGGAGGCAUCCUCUGAUCAUAUUGAUCACCAUAGAAGCAAAAGCCCAAUCGAUCCCCUUCAUUAUCAGUAUUUCUCAUGCUGUACACAAUAAAUUUGUUAGACUGAGGACUCGGUUUUCAUUUAAUAGAACAAAUAAUCAGUGUUUUACUUAUAUUACUAAAUGUGAAAGACAUAUAUAAUGUGAAAAGUAUACAUACAUUUACUUGGUUGUAAAACUCAUUUAAGUGUUCAUGUAAUGUGGUAAGUUUAAAAAGUGAAGUGAGCUGUUGUACUGCAGUGAAUUCGAUCGACUCAAAGAUUAAGAUGCCCCCUCCCACAUGUAUCUCUCACGGCCUGUGAUAAUGGGAAGCAAUGUUUUUGCAGUUUAUAUAAUGCAAUUUUUAAUGUGUUUAAAAAUGGAGUUCAUAUGGGCUUAACACAUGAAAUGGGUGGCACAGAUCCACUUGCAGAACCCAAAGACACACAAUCAAUUUUGAAAUGCAACUUAAGCCAUUAAUUGUUGGUGUGAAUUUAAAAUUUUCUAGUAUUUGUAUGGUAGUAUGCUGCCUAAGAGCAAAGCAUUCUCUGCACAAAAGAAAAUUACUGUAGUGGCUUCGAUUUUAAUUAGACUUUUCUCCCUGGUGUUUCUUUAUAGACUAAAACAAAAUCUUUUAAGUUUCUUACUACAGGUAAAAGCUAUGUGCAAGAACCUCAAAAUGCUAAAAUCUAGCAUAAUGCCUUAGAUCUGUUUUUAAGUCUUGUAUAUUCCUACAUAGCUGUCCGAUGUAUUAUAUUUGUAUAGUGAAUUGUGUACAAUUUUUGAAUCAGUGCGUCAUCACUUAACCUUUAUGUCCUUGAAUAGUGAUGAUGAUACAUUUCUUCAAACAUUUGACUGUCAUUUUUUUUUCUUUGUCAUUUGUGGGUUUUAUUUGUACAGUUCCUCAUGAAGUUGCAUCUGAGAUGUGUGUAUAUGAAAAGAUUAUAAAGGGUAAAAUUAAGCAAUAUAUUAACUAUGGCCCUUCAGGAGAAAGCUGACAGUGUUUCAGGUUGUGAUUUAUUUUCAAAUGGAGUUGACUCUGAACAUGACUUUGUUCACCUGCAUCGAUGUUUGUAUUUCUAGUGUGAGCAGUUUAUGCAAAGGUAGAUAUAUUCAGAGAAAUUUUAAAUACAUUUAUGCAAGUUAAUAUUGCUUUGCUGAUGCUAUUUGCUUAUUUGAUGUUAAAUAAUGCUAUUGUAAAUAAAGAAUUCUGUUGUUAUUGCAUCAUUUAAUAAAUUUUAAUGCCUUCGGGUUUUACAU